rnacentral:rRNA from 1 species
AUUGAACGCUGGCGGCAGGCCUAACACAUGCAAGUCGAACGGCGCGGCGGACGGGGGAGUAAUGCCUAGGAAUCUGCCUGGUAGUGGGGGAUAACGACCGGAAACGGGCGCUAAUACCGCAUCCUAUCAGAUUAGCCUAGGUCGGAUUAGCUAGUGGGUGGGGUAAAGGCCUACAAAGGCGACGAUCCGUAACUGGUCUGAGAGGAUGAUCAGUCACACUGGAACUGAGACACGGUCCAGACUCCUACGGGAGGCAGCAGUGGGGAAUAUUGGACAAUGGGCGAAAGCCUGAUCCAGCCAUGCCGCGUGUGUGAAGAAGGCCUUCGGAUUGUAAAGCACUUUAAGUUGGGAGGCGUUACCAACAGAAUAAGCACCGGCUAACUCCGUGCCAGCAGCCGCGGUAAUUC